UACGUAGGCAGCGAGCGUUGUUCGGAAUUACUGGGCGUAAAGAGUGUGUAGGCGGUGCUCUAAGUUCGGUGUGAAAUCUCCCGGCUUAACUGGGAGGGUGCGCCGGAAACUGGAGUGCUCGAGCUUGGGAGAGGAAAGCGGAAUUCCUGGUGUAGCGGUGAAAUGCGUAGAUAUCAGGAGGAACACCUGCGGUGUAGACGGCUUUCUGGACCAUUGCUGACGCUGAGACACGAAAGCGUGGGUAGCAAACAGG
rnacentral:rRNA from 1 species